CUCAGACCAAUGCUGGCGCUGCCACGCUGCGAGAGGCACCAUGCUGCACAUGUGGUGGACGUGCAAGCAGGUGAAUCAACUGUGGAAAGAAACAGCCAAACUAAUCAAACGAGUCACGAAACACCAACUACCCCUCGACCCCAAAACGAUCCUACUGCGCUCGUUACAGGGAAACAUCCCGAAGCCGAUCCGAAAAAUUAUAUACCUCAUCCUAAGUACAGUAUCCAUACUAAUAGCCAGAAACUGGAAAACAACUACGCUGCCCUCGCUCCAAGACAUAGAAAAAGUAAUGACCUCAACAGUAGAACAUGAACUAAUAAUGUGGAAUCAGUCGAAAAUUGGGAAACUCAGCCCCCACACUGCCACAAUGUGGGAGGACUACCUACGACGAACAGACACAAGACUGACCUGAGCCCCAACACCCAUGAAAAUGACAAAAUCUCCCGAACCAGGCUUACUCUCAGCCGGAGAACACAACCACCCAGCACCCAAACACCCAAGAAGGCACCACACAAAGCUUCAAACAUAUUGUUGUUACAGUCACUACACUACACAGGAUGUCCCCCGCUAGGUACUCCA